rnacentral:rRNA from 1 species
UACGGGGGGAGCAAGCGUUGUUCGGAUUUACUGGGCGUAAAGGGCGCGUAGGCGGUCAGCACAAGUCAGUUGUGAAAUCUCCGGGCUUAACUCGGAAAGGUCAACUGAUACUGUGCGACUAGAGUGCGGAAGGGGCAACUGGAAUUCUCGGUGUAGCGGUGAAAUGCGUAGAUAUCGAGAGGAACACCUGCGGCGAAGGCGGGUUGCUGGGACGGUACUGACGCUGAGACGCGAAAGCGUGGGGAGCAAACAGG